rnacentral:rRNA from 1 species
UUGGAGGGCAAGUCUGGUGCCAGCAGCCGCGGUAAUUCCAGCUCCAAUAGCGUAUAUUAAAGUUGUUGCAGUUAAAAAGCUCGUAGUUGAAUUUCGGGGUCAGUAGAUUGGUCGUGCCACUGGUAUGUACUGGUCUUACUGGCUCCUCCUUCCUGAUGAACCGUAAUGCCAUUAAUUUGGUGUUGCGGGGAGACUGGACUGUUACUUUGAAAAAAUUAGAGUGUUUAAAGCAGGCUAACGCUUGAAUACAUUAGCAUGGAAUAAUGAAAUAGGACGUUCGAUCUUAUUUUGUUGGUUUCUAGGAUUGACGUAAUGAUUAAUAGGGAUAGUUGGGGGCAUUAGUAUUCAAUUGUCAGAGGUGAAAUUCUUGGAUUUAUUGAAGACUAACUACUGCGAAAGCAUUUGCCAAGGAUGUUUUCAUUUAAUCAAGAACGAAAGUUAGGGGAUCGAAGACGAUCAGAUACCGGUCUAGUCUUAACCAUAAAACUUAUGCCGACUAGGGGAUCGGAUGAUGUU